CUGACGCAGAGGAAACCAAAUGCAUCUACACGUAUAGAGGACUGUUUGCAGCAUGUGCUGUAAAAGCAGAAGUGGAAGAGAAGGAGGAGAUCUUUCAGGGUUUACUAGCAAUAUUGCAUGGGCUAUGUUUCUGCAGAAGGAGAGUGGUUAAGAAAGGAAAGCUAUGAGGAAGCUGACAGCCAACAUGAGGAAGCUGGAAGACACUAUGACAAAGCAAAAUCAGGACUUCAAACGGCUACAGAGUGAAAAGGAGGAAAUUGAAACAGAACUCUAGAAGCCUACUGCUCAGUCAUUCAUCUGGCAAUCUGGAAAAUGCUGAGGCUGAAGAGGUUAAAAAGGAGCCGUUUGGAAGAAUACAAUUGUUUUUGUAUUACAUUGGAGGGUAACUCGGCUGUUUGUCUGUCCAUUUACGUCAAACGUAUUUCACCGGAAAGGUCAGAGUGUGGCAGUGCAGCUGCAGUCUGGGCCUUCCCGACGGGAGGAAGGUAACACACAGUGCUUUUGAAGUGAUGAUAAGAAGAGAAAACUACAAUUAGGUUUUGAAGCUUUUCUGGUAAAUUUGCAUUUUAAAUUACUUUUCAGUAUAAUUAUGUUUCAUCUUUUUUUCCCCCCACUUUGACUUCUGUAACUCCAUUUCUAAAGCUUGUUAUAAAAACCAUACAGGACUACAUUUUUAAAAAUGAUAGCAAUAUGAUUUUUGUUCAAAAAUAUUCCUUUGAGGUUAAGCAUUAAAAACAAUGGCUGAAGAAGGACCAAAAUGGGAGAUUGUUUUACUGAAUCUUUAGUUUUUAGGGUGGCAAUGGGCAUUUUCCAAACCCUUCAUCUUGUGUAAGAAAUGAAAGAGUUCUAUCACCUCACUAGCUUUACAAACAAAUCCUACCCUAAACUUGGCUGUAGUUUUAGGACUUAAUUCCAUUCACAAUGGGAGUGUUGCCAACGACUUUAAU
rnacentral:lncRNA from 1 species